rnacentral:rRNA from 1 species
CAUUUAUUAGAUAAAAAGCCAAUGCAUGCUUUUACAGUAUGAAAAUUGGUGAUUUAUAAUAACUUAGCAAAUCGCAAAGUGAAAACAGGCGAUAAAUCAUUCAAGUUUCUGACCUAUCAGCUUUCGACGGUAUGGUAUUGGCUUACCGUGGCAGUGACGGUUAACGGGGGAUUAGGGUUCGAUUCCGGAGAGGGAGCCUGAGAAACGGCUACCACAUCUAAGGAAGGCAGCAGGCGCGCAAAUUACCCAAUUCUAACAGUUUGAGAGAGGUAGUAACAAGAAAUAACAAUACAAGGCAGUUAAAAUGCUUUGUAAUUGGAAUGAUAGAAAUUUAAACCCUUUUUAAAGUAUCAAUUGGAGGGCAAGUCUGGUGCCAGCAGCCGCGGUAAUUCCAGCUCCAAUAGCGUAUAUUAAAAUUGUUGCAGUUAAAAAGCUCGUAGUUGAAGUUCUGCUAAAAGUAACCGGUCUGCUUUUAAUAAAGGUGGUAUCUUGGUGUGUAUUUAGCAAUGA